CUAGACCCCCCAACCCCGCCCGCUUAUUUAGAGCUACAGGGAGACCGCUGCUGCUCUCCCCCCUCACCGUGGUCUCGAUCUGUCGUGUCUGGGCGCUGGCGUCUUCCCGAACCAAACAGAUCCCCUAGGAAAGAAUCAUCAACUCCGCACUACACAGCCUCCCGGUGUAAGCGGCCGCAGCACGCAUGAGCCAGCCACCGCUCUCGCGCCCGCGCGGGGG
rnacentral:ribozyme from 1 species